UUUUUUUUUUUUUUUUUUUUUUUUUUUUUUUAUUGUCAGACUCCUUUUUGAAGU
rnacentral:ribozyme from 16 species